rnacentral:rRNA from 1 species
AUUGAACGCUGGCGACAGGCUUAACACAUGCAAGUCGAGCGAGCGGCGGACGGGUGGGUAAUGUCUGGGAAACUGCCUGAUGGAGGGGGAUAACUACUGGAAACGGUAGCUAAUACCGCAUACCAUCAGAUGUGCCCAGAUGGGAUUAGCUAGGAGGUGGGGUAAUGGCUCACCUGGGCGACGAGCCCUAGCUGGUCUGAGAGGCUGACCAGCCACACUGGAACUGAGACACGGGCCAGACUCCUCGCGGAGGCAGCAGUGGGGAAUAGUGCACAAUGGGCGCAAGCCUGAUGCAGCCAUGCCGCGUGUGUGAAGAAGGCCUUCGGGUUGUAACGCACUUUCAGCGAGGAGGCGUUACUCGCAGAAGAAGCACCGGCUAACUCCGUGCCAGCAGCCGCGGUAAUUC